AGAGUUUGAUCCUGGCUCAGAAUCAACGCUGGCGGCGUGCCUAACACAUGCAAGUCGAACGCGAAGACCCAGCAAUGGGUUUGUAGCGUGGCAAACGGGUGAGUAACACGUGGGUGACCUGCCUUCGAGCGGGGGAUAACGUCCCGAAAGGGACGCUAAUACCGCAUAACAUCCUGCCUUUGAAGAGGUGGAGAUCAAAGCCGGGGAUCGCAAGACCUGGCACUCGAAGAGGGGCCCGCGCCUGAUUAGCUAGUUGGCGAGGUAAUGGCUCACCAAGGCAACGAUCAGUAUCCGGCCUGAGAGGGCGGACGGACACACUGGGACUGAGACACGGCCCAGACUCCUACGGGAGGCAGCAGUGGGGAAUUGUUCGCAAUGGGCGCAAGCCUGACGACGCAACGCCGCGUGGAGGAUGAAGAUCUUCGGGUCGUAAACUCC
rnacentral:rRNA from 1 species